UACGGGGGGGGCAAGCGUUGUUCGGAAUUACUGGGCGUAAAGGGCUUGUAGGUGGCCAACUAAGUCAGACGUGAAAUCCCUCGGCUUAACCGGGGAACUGCGUCUGAUACUGGAUGGCUUGAGUGUGGGAGAGGGAUGCGGAAUUCCAGGUGUAGCGGUGAAAUGCGUAGAUAUCUGGAGGAAUACCGGUGGCGAAGGCGGCAUCCUGGACCGGCAUUGACGCUGAGGAGCGAAAGCCAGGGGAGCAAACGGG
rnacentral:rRNA from 1 species